GAGUAACUAUGACUCUCUUAAGGUAGCCAAAUGCCUCGUCAUCGUAUUUCAGUAAUCGAAAUGGCACCUUAGGAGUAUAAACUGGCGGCUGGGCGGCGUAUGGCGGCAUCGACGGGACUGGACGACACGAGAAGCAUCUGAUCAAUGCACUAUCGAUCGACCGGACCCGAUCGUACCGUACCUAAUCGUGAUUCUUGAUGUAGACGUAAGCCGGGUAUUCGUACCUAGGGAUCUAACCGCGGAGAAGGGUCGUGCCGAUUGCAAGGCUGAGCCUGACUGGCGACCAAGCCGAUCGAUGUAGUCACGCUAUCGGAAAGUACCUAAUGGGGCCCCCAUACCCACCAGGGAAACUGAAGCAAAGGACCGAUCGAACGGAAGGCCAAGAGACUAUACGGUUCCUAAGGCAAAAGAGAUAGUCCACCCAACGAGAGUAACCGUGAAGAGCACGGAGCGAGUGGCUCGUUCGGAACGUAACCGAGGAUCAUUACCUCAACCGCGUUCCCGAAGAAGGCCAGAGGCUCCCUCGUGUUGUUCGGUAGCGGCGAAGCCCCGUAUCAUACCCACGAUCACCAUUCGAUUUGAUCGAGCGCGGGGCAGGUACGGCGAGCGGGUGUUAAUUUGUGACGCGCAUGAAUGGAUUAAUGAGAUUCCCACUGUCCCUACCUACUAUCUAGCGAAACCACAGCCAAGGGAACGGGCUUGGCACAAUUAGCGGGGAAAGAAGACCCUGUUGAGCUUGACUCUAGGCAUAGAAGCGAGGUGAUUCUAAAGGUGUAGCAUAGGUGGGAGGGUCCAUGCCCGACAAUGAAAUACCACCACUUUCGACAUCGCUUUGCUAAUGCUGUAACGAACGAACGGAACCGCGUCCCUCUCGUCGAAAGGCGGGGGAAGGGAUAGGCAAUCCAAAUUCUAGCGCUUUCCGCGCUCGCAUGACGGAUCGGCUCCUCUGGGUGAGUACUGUGGGACCGCGAGUCGGGCUUCCGAGUCUGGCGAGUGCUGCUUCUGCGGGAACCAGGGACGGUCGAACUGUCCUCUGCGGGCUUCAAGCCGGUACGUAAUGCGUGUAGCAGACUAUCUAUGUUGGGGAGUUUGGCUGGGGCGGAAAACUGCUACACGGCAACGGCAGUCUCCUAAGGUCCACUCAGAGACGACAGAAACGUCUCGUAGAGCAUAAAGGCAAAAGUGGGCUUAACUCGCAUUUUCAAGUAGUAAUGUGAAGCAAGAAAUUGCGGCUUAACGAUCCUUAGCGGCGGGUGCCAGCCCACGCUUGAGGUGAGAGAAAAGUUACCACAGGGAUUGAUAAACCACACACGAGUAACUAUGACGGGAGGGCGAGCGAAGCGUUCAAAUCGACCGACCUACCGGGGCCGACGGGUCCCGGUUAACUGCGAGAUACGGCUUCAUCCCCUCAAAUAAUGGGUCCCAACGAGUCGAUCGGUAAGCGCGAUGCCUGGUCCAGUGCAGAUUUACCAUGGUAUACGAUACGCUAAAGGGGUUCUCGGAUGGUGUUGGAUGCGUAAGCCUGUAACGGGCGACAAGCGGUCCUGAUCCUGACGGUUCUCCUUCCCGACGGCGACGCACCUCGAUGCUGAGACGGCUUAAAAGGGUCCACUCGUGGGUCGAUCUUGAUCGAUCCCGAGGUUAACAAGGUACCCGGCAAACGACGAUUUGUACCAAGCGUUGCUCGGUCACACCGAGACGUGGAGCUGGUCACGUUCCCCUUCGGGGGAUGCGGACUGCGGGUCAUAAUCUUAUCGAUCGGAGCUUAUCAGCAAGCGACAAGGCCAUCCAGUCGAGACACGACAAGGACGCGACCAACCUUCGGGUAGGCGGUCCGUACGGUGCACGACGGGUCAAAAUGAUGGUUAAGCGCUUCAACGACUGGAAAGGUGUGGGACCGAGCGGUGGUAUACGGUCGACCUAGUCAACCGAUAACCAUCGCACGGUCUUAAGGAACAGUCUCUCCCGGCUUCAAGUAGCGAACGGGCGAUAUGGGAUACAAGGGAACGGGCCUUAGGAUACAUGAGCAGUACGGACCGGUUUAUUCCGGACCCGAGCCUCCCCCCCCCUCCCCCCUUUCGUCCAAGUAGCGAAUGGAGCAUGCCGCGAUCUCAUAACCCACCACUGCGAGGGCGAGACGUGGGAACGAUGGCUUUUUUCACCACGUUCGGAUACGAAACGGAAUACGGAACUGGCUUGUGGCCGCCAAGCGUUCAUAGCGACGUGGC
rnacentral:rRNA from 1 species